rnacentral:rRNA from 1 species
GACGAACGCUGGCAGCGUGCUUAACACAUGCAAGUCGAACGGAAAGGCCCUGCUUUUGUGGGGUGCUCGAGUGGCGAACGGGUGAGUAACACGUGAGUAACCUGCCCUUGACUUUGGGAUAACUUCAGGAAACUGGGGCUAAUACCGGAUAGGAGCUCCUGCUGCAUGGUGGGGGUUGGAAAGUUUCGGCGGUUGGGGAUGGACUCGCGGCUUAUCAGCUUGUUGGUGGGGUAGUGGCUUACCAAGGCUUUGACGGGUAGCCGGCCUGAGAGGGUGACCGGCCACAUUGGGACUGAGAUACGGCCCAGACUCCUACGGGAGGCAGCAGUGGGGAAUAGUGCACAAUGGGCGGAAGCCUGAUGCAGCAACGCCGCGUGCGGGAUGACGGCCUUCGGGUUGUAAACCGCUUUCGCCUGUGACGAAGCGUGAGUGACGGUAAUGGGUAAAGAAGCACCGGCUAACUACGUG